rnacentral:rRNA from 1 species
GAUGAACGCUGGCGGCGUGCCUAAUACGUGCAAGUCGAGCGAACAGACGAGGAGCUUGCUCCCCUGACGUUAGCGGCGGACGGGUGAGUAACACGUGGAUAACCUACCUAUAAGACUGGGAUAACUUCGGGAAACCGGAGCUAAUACCGGAUAAUAUAUUGAACCGCAUGGUUCAAUAGUGAAAGACGGUUUUGCUGUCACUUAUAGAUGGAUCCGCGCCGCAUUAGCUAGUUGGUAAGGUAACGGCUUACCAAGGCGACGAUGCGUAGCCGACCUGAGAGGGUGAUCGGCCACACUGGAACUGAGACACGGUCCAGACUCCUACGGGAGGCAGCAGUAGGGAAUCUUCCGCAAUGGGCGAAAGCCUGACGGAGCAACGCCGCGUGAGUGAUGAAGGUCUUCGGAUCGUAAAACUCUGUUAUUAGGGAAGAACAAAUGUGUAAGUAACUAUGCACGUCUUGACGGUACCUAAUCAGAAAGCCACGGCUAACUACGUG